GAUGAACGCUGGCGGCGUGCCUAAUACAUGCAAGUCGAACGCUGAAGGAGGAGCUUGCUCUUCUGGAUGAGUUGCGAACGGGUGAGUAACGCGUAGGUAACCUGCCUGGUAGCGGGGGAUAACUAUUGGAAACGAUAGCUAAUACCGCAUGACAACAGUUAUUGCAUGAUAACUGUUUAAAAGGGGCAACUGCUCCACUACCAGAUGGACCUGCGUUGUAUUAGCUAGUUGGUGAGGUAACGGCUCACCAAGGCGACGAUACAUAGCCGACCUGAGAGGGUGAUCGGCCACACUGGGACUGAGACACGGCCCAGACUCCUACGGGAGGCAGCAGUAGGGAAUCUUCGGCAAUGGACGGAAGUCUGACCGAGCAACGCCGCGUGAGGGAAGAAGGUUUUCGGAUCGUAAAGCUCUGUUGUAAGAGAAGAACGAGUGUGAGAGUGGAAAGUUCACACUGUGACGGUAUCUUACCAGAAAGGGACGGCUAACUACGUG
rnacentral:rRNA from 1 species